rfam:Oesophagostomum dentatum strain OD-Hann O_dentatum-1.0_Cont1570.8, whole genome shotgun sequence.
GCCGCCAUAGCUCAGUCGGUUAUAGCGUGGGUCUAAUAAGCCCAAGGUCGCAGGUUCGACCCCUGCUGGCGGCA